UGGGGAAUUUUGGACAAUGGGCGCAAGCCUGAUCCAGCCAUGCCGCGUGUGUGAAGAAGGCCUUCGGGUUGUAAAGCACUUUCGGCCGGAACGAAAUCGCGCGGGUUAAUAGCCCGCGUGGAUGACGGUACCGGAAGAAGAAGCACCGGCUAACUACGUGCCAGCAGCCGCGGUAAUACGUAGGGUGCGAGCGUUAAUCGGAAUUACUGGGCGUAAAGGGUGCGCAGGCGGCGUCGCAAGUCAGGCGUGAAAUCCCCGGGCUUAACCUGGGAACUGCACUUGAAACUACGAUGCUGGAGUAUGGCAGAGGGAGGUGGAAUUCCACGUGUAGCGGUGAAAUGCGUAGAGAUGUGGAGGAACACCGAUGGCGAAGGCAGCCUCCUGGGCCAAUACUGACGCUCAUGCACGAAAGCGUGGGGAGCAAACAGGAUUAGAUACCCCCGUAGUCC
rnacentral:rRNA from 1 species